GGGGCUAUAGUUAACAAUAACAUUUGGGUUGCAUUCAAAAAGUACUGCAGCAUGCAGUUAGCCUCA
rnacentral:tRNA from 1 species